UACGUAGGGUACGAGCGUUAAUCGGAAUUACUGGGCGUAAAGUGUGCGCAGGCGGCCGCGCAAGUCGAGUGUGAAAGCCCCGGGCUUAACUUGGGAAUUGCGCUCGAAACUACGUGGCUAGAGUGUGGCAGAGGGAGGUGGAAUUCCACGUGUAGCGGUGAAAUGCGUAGAGAUGUGGAGGAACACCGAUGGCGAAGGCAGCCUCCUGGGCCAACACUGACGCUCAGGCACGAAAGCGUGGGGAGCAAACAGG
rnacentral:rRNA from 1 species